AAGUGCCUUUGUCUUGGGGUCACUUCGAGAAAACAUUGUAGAUCCAGGGGCUCUGAGCUGAAGAGGAAAAACCAUCAUAGUGUUCUGGGACUCAUUCUUGGAGCCCAGUCUCCAUACUGUGAGGAAGCCCAAAAGGCACACACUAACAGAACACGUGGAAAAGCUUCAGCCUCGUGUAGAUGUUCUGGUCAACAUCCCAGUUGAUGUCACAGCCAACAGCCUGCAUCAAGUGCCUGACACGUGAGUGAUGACACCUCCAGAUGAUUCCAGCCCCUAGCCAUUGGAUCACCCCCAGCUGUCAAAUCUUCCAGCUGAGGCCCCAGACAUUGUGGGGCAGAGACAAGCUGUUCCCAUUGUGCCCCAUCCAAAUUCCUGACCCACAGAAUGAAUGAGCAUAAAUAAAAUGGUUGUCUUAUGCCAUUAAGUCUUGUAGUGGUUUAUUAUAUAGCAGUAGUAACUAGAACACUUAUGAUUAAUUGAUAAUAUAUAUUACUUAUCCCAAUAGACAAAUCAUCAAACAUUACCAUUCCCCAAGAAAGUAGGGAGUAGGGGAGUCCCCAGAUUUUCUUUUUGCUGCCUCACUGUGGUGAAAUGACAGGGACAGAGUGCAUAGUGCUCUCUUUGCUUAUGUCUCCCUCUCUCCCUCUCACCUGCUGCCAGGGCCCAGGCCUUACCCUCUCCUCACUGCCUGUCUCCUAUUUCUUUGGCCCUUCUCUAGAUUCCUAUCCUGAAUGUCCUUGGUGGGUGUGGCAGUGGAUGGUGACUGCCUACUGCAGGAUGGUGAAACCCAAACCAAAUUUUCUCUUCCCAGCCAAUGGGACCUGCUAUUCUGAGUCUGUGAACAGCCAGCUUAAAAAACUCUCCAAUGGCUCCCAGUUGCUUUUAGGACAAAGGCCGAGAUGCUUCCCAGAACCUACAAAGUCCUGUGGGUCCUACCUACCCCUCUUCCCUCAAAGUGUGCUUUGGGCUUCUGCACUUUCAGUACUCCAGCUGCACUGAGUGCCUUUUGAUUCCUUGAAUGCUGCAUCAGGCCUCAGACACCAGGCCUUUGUCCAUGCUGUUCCUUCCGCCUGGGUUGCUUUUCCCUUCCCAAGUUGACUCCUACACCGUUUUCAGAUCUCGGUGCCAGUCUCCCUUCUGCAAGAACCUUUCUGGGCUCCUGCUAUUGCAUGUGCCUGGAGUACUGCAUCCUUUGCCUCUUGCAAAUUUACAACCAUACCUUGAGCAUUGGUUUGAUGUCUGUUUGCACCAUAGAUUUUAAGCCUUUUAAACCUUAAACUUGCUUGUUUUUCCCCCUCGUAUUGCUCCACUAAAUGUAGCGUGGUGCUUGGCACAUUGUAGGUGCUGAAUAAAUAUUUGCAGAAUAAAUGAUUAAACCAACACACAUAAUAACCUUUGUUCUGUGCUUGAUCUUCUGGUCAAAUUUUUGCAAGCAGUAGAGCCCUUCCAGAAAUGACAGAGAAGAAAUGCAGUUGUGAUGUGAAGUUAGGGCAUGCAGAAUUCUACCUAUUGUACUUUGCAUUCUCAACAGGAGCCUUGGAAGAGGCGGCAAGGGUGGCAGUUCAGGGACAGACUGCCUGGGCUGGCGUUCUGAUUUGCCGAAGGUAGUAAGCAACUAUCUCUGUGACCUUGAACAAAGUACUGAACUGCAUCUCUGUAAAAUGGGGAGAAUAAUCAUUCUACUUCAUAGGAUUGUUAUACGCUAUAAGCGCUAACAUAUGUACAACCCUGAGACCUGAGCCUAGCUCACAAUAAGGGCUCUGAGUUUGCUGUUGUUAUUGUUGUUGUUGAUUAUUACGGUUGUUGUUGUUUUUAUUGUUAUUAGAAAGACUCCACUUUGUCAGGCUGCUCUGUCUCCAUCCUAUUGCCCUCUCCAGGUGCCUAUACAGAGUCAGCCCUUGUGCUGCUCAUUUACAAAUAGCUGCUUGGUGUCUCCCCUCAUCUCCACUCCUCUGGAUUCCAGAACUUCCCACACAGGAGCCCAGCCCUGGACAGUGACGGUGACCCAUGGAGAAUGCAUCAUGCCUGUCAGGGUCCUGUUGGUUCAGCGGCUGGGGAGGCAGUGCCCUGCUGGGAACGAUCACUUCCCAUGAAGAUGGAUGGCUUUCUCUGUCCCGGCGACACUAACUGCGAGAGAUGGGGGAACCUGCUGCAGGAGGGAAGGGGCAGUUUGUAUUAAGUGGUCACUGGGCCCAGUGGGGAAGUAUGAGGGGGGCAUGGAGGCUUAUUUCACUGUUUCAAUAACACCAGCCUUGCAGACUGACAAGACUUCUCCCCUCGGAGAGCUAACUGCUCAGCCGUCCACGUGUUUCUUUGCACACUGGUAAAGCCCAGGGGUUACCGGCAUGCAUUUUGGAAUCAGCUGGCUUGUGAAUAAGUCCUUGCUUUGCCGUUUCCUUGGCUGCUAAAUUUGGACCCACUAUUUAACUUCCCUUUGGUCUCUGUUUCUUAAUGAAAUAAUAGUAUCCACCUUGUUAAGUUACGCUGUGAAGUCUGAGAGACCUGCAUGUGAAGCCCUAAGAGAGGCUGGAGAGCAGGGGUGCCAAACGUGUUCAGUAAUGGAUCAGCAGAUCAAUCUUUUGGGCUCUGUGGUCCGUAAGAUCUCUGUUGCAGAUACUCAACUCUGCCAGUGUAGCCCCAAAGCAGCCAUAGAUAAUAGAUACAUAAUCAGGCAUGGUUGUGUUCUAAUAAAACUUUACAUAAAAAGCAGGCAACGGUGAGAUUUUGCCUGUGGGUUGUAGUUUGUAAGCCCUGGACUAAAGCCUAGUCCUCAAGAGCAGGGGCCAUGGAUCCCGGCUGCACCUGGGUUUAGAUCUCAGCUCUGACACUCACAAGCUGUGUGAGCUUUCUUCACCUGCUGGCAGUUGUAAGAAUUUUGUGAGUCAUACAUUGAUAGGCCAAGGACUUGCAAUGGUGUUUAGGAAACGUUAAACACAACUUAAGUGUUUGCUCUCAUUUUCAUUAUUACAGAGUGAGUAUAAAACAGGUCCCAGGCCAGGUGCGGUGGCUCAUGCCUG
rnacentral:lncRNA from 1 species